rnacentral:lncRNA from 1 species
UGGCCAGGGACUUUCUCCCGUCUGGCCAGCCAGAUCACCUGCUCAUUUUGUUAUUGUUUGUAAAAAUUUGUAACCCAUCCCUGCGUGUUUGUUCCGAAGAUUGGGAAUCCUACAUUCAAGGCCUUUCUUUCACUUUGUUUUAUUCCGUUUUGGACGAACGAUGGGUAAACUACCGCGCUUCGAGCCAGGCAUGUAAGAAGACAGCUAUGCCCGUUAGGCCCCCGACCCGACGCGGCAUAAAUAGCUCCGGCUUCCGUUUGCCUACCUCUUUGUGCUGUGGACCGGUUGGUAGUAGGAGUCCUUUCGGUCCGCGUGGCGUCUUCCGCGGAACCUGCCGUUCAGUGUCGGGAAGGCACAGGGCACACCUUUGGUGUAGCAACCCGCCUGCAGGUACGCGGGGGCCUUGCUGGGAAAAGGGGACCGUAGACUUGGGCUGAGCGGGAUGAAUAC